GACGGGGGGGGCAAGUGUUCUUCGGAAUGACUGGGCGUAAAGGGCAUGUAGGCGGUGAAUCGGGUUGAAAGUGAAAGUCGCCAAAAAGUGGCGGAAUGCUCUCGAAACCAAUUCACUUGAGUGAGACAGAGGAGAGUGGAAUUUCGUGUGUAGGGGUGAAAUCCGUAAAUAUACGAAGGAACGCCAAAAGCGAAGGCAGCUCUCUGGGUCCCUACCGACACUGGGGUGCGAAAGCAUGGGGAGCGAACAGG
rnacentral:rRNA from 1 species